GACGAACGCUGGCGGUGUGCUUAAUACAUGCAAGUCGAACGAAGCUUUCGGGCUUAGUGGCGGACGGCAGAGUAACGCGUAGGUAACGUGCCUUUUACUGGGGGAUAACAUCGGGAAACCGGUGCUAAUACCGCAUAAGUCGCGAGUUGAAAUACUUGUGAUUAAAGAAAUUCGGUAAGAGAUCGGCCUGCGUCUGAUUAGCUAGUUGGUAGGGUAAUGGCCUACCAAGGCGAUGAUCAGUAGUUGGUCUGAGAGGAUGACCAGCCAGAGUGGGACUGAGACCGGCCCACACUUCUACGGAAGGCAGCAGUAGGGAAUUUUGCGCAAUGGGCGAAAGCCUGACGCAGCAACACCGCGUGCGGGAUGAAGGCCUUCGGGUUGUAAACCGCUGUCGGCAGGGAAUAAAUUGACUGUACCUGCAAAGGAAGCACCGGCUAACUACGUGCCAGCCGCCGCGGUAA
rnacentral:rRNA from 1 species